rnacentral:rRNA from 1 species
GCGCUGAAAGCAUCUAAGUGCGAAGCCCCCCUCAAGAUGAGAUUUCCCAUGAUUUUAUAUCAGUAAGAGCCCUGAGAGAUGAUCAGGUAGAUAGGUUAGAAGUGGAAGUGUAGUGAUACAUGAAGCGGACUAAUACUAAUAGCUCGAGGACUUAUCCGAA